UGAGAGGAAAAAAAAGUUCCUGAGGUGGUGUCUUCGUACCUCCUGGAGAGCAAGUCUCGUCUCCUUUUCUCUUCCCAGCACGUGGAAGCCCCUCCCCCUACUGGUGUAGCGUCCUGCCUACAGGGGGCGCUGGGGGCCCAGAGGACUGAACUGCAGCUGGAUGGGUCCUGUUUCUUGGCAUUCAGGGUUGCGGGUUCUUUAGAGCUGAAGGAUCUGGGGACUUGGAGGGUGGGUCUUCAUUCAGUGUGGCUCUCGAACUGGUCCUGACCCCCCUGCCUCAGCAGAAGCUGUGCCCAGCGUGUGGAAGAAUAUCCGAGUCUGUUUACCCAGUUUUCUGCCAGGAAGGGGCAGGGUGGCCCUCAGUGCAGAAUGGCCCUGCACCCCUCCUCUCUCCCCAUAACCACUGCUGCCAAGCCUCUGUCGUCCAUCAGCCUCACAAACCCCACCACCCAGCCUUUGCCUGUGCUGUCCUCUGUAGCAGCACCCUCUGUUCCUGUCCUUGGGGAUGGCUGAUGGCUCAUACACCUCCUGGAUGCUCUGGCCUUCAGCACGGAGAGAUUUGUAGACACAGAAAUACAGAGACCCACAGGGAAGAAGGUCACAUGAUGAUGGAGGCAGAGACUGGAGUGAUGCGGCUCCAAGACGAGGAAUACCAAGGACUGCACCCACCAGAAGCUGGGAGAGAGGCAC